rnacentral:rRNA from 1 species
CCUACGGGGGGCAGCAGUGGGGAAUAUUGGACAAUGGGGGCAACCCUGAUCCAGCCAUGCCGCGUGUGUGAAGAAGGCCCUCGGGUUGUAAAGCACUUUCAGUGAGGAAGAACGCCUGGUGGUUAAUACCCAUCAGGAAAGACAUCACUCACAGAAGAAGCACCGGCUAACUCCGUGCCAGCAGCCGCGGUAAUACGGAGGGUGCGAGCGUUAAUCGGAAUUACUGGGCGUAAAGCGCGCGUAGGUGGCUUGAUAAGCCGGUUGUGAAAGCCCCGGGCUCAACCUGGGAACUGCAUCCGGAACUGUCUAGCUAGAGUGCAGGAGAGGAAGGUAGAAUUCCCGGUGUAGCGGUGAAAUGCGUAGAGAUCGGGAGGAAUACCAGUGGCGAAGGCGGCCUUCUGGACUGACACUGACACUGAGGUGCGAAAGCGUGGGUAGCAAACAGGAUUAGAUACCCCUGUAGUC